GGCGGUAGCUGGUCCAAGCUGUCUUUUGCCUUAGCUGGGUAGAGCAGAAAGCAGGUGGUCGUGCUGACAAGCUGCUGCAGCAGAAGGGUCCCAGCCUGUGGACCUCACCCAACAGAAAGGUGGUCACUCAACCCCCUAUGCCUACACCUUCCCAGGGUAAGAUCAGUGUUGAGCCCUUCAACAACGAGGCACUUGAGAUCGUCAGCCAUGAGCGGGGCAUUUUCACACACCUGGGGGAGGCAGACAGAACACAACAGAACAAAACACUUGAGAGGCUGAGUCAAGAGAAUCGCCUAAGCCCAAGGAUUUGGAGGUUGCUGUGAGCUGUGUGACGCCACAGCACUCUACCGAGAGCGAUCAGCUCCCUCCGAGACGGUCACCAUUGUUAGCUCCAUACUGAAGAUGGAGACGCUGGUGCCCAGAGACGCUGAAGGACAGAAACCAGAUGAUUAGAAAACACUGCAGCAAGAAUUUGAGUCAAGUCUGUAGACUCCACAGCCUGAAAGAAGUUCCAGGACAAGGACCCAGAAGAGUUGCUGUCUCGCCCGUCAUGUAAAUGGCAGCCGGCAGGUAGGGGGCAGAACUUGCCUGAGCCUCUGAGGAAGACUGGUUCCCACCAGGCCCUUCUCCUCACCUCCUCAGCACACUGUCUCGAGGAACAAGGUGUAAAUAUUUAGAUAGCGCUUCUUUCCCUACCAGGCCUCCAGAGCGCAGGGAGGGCAGGACCCUGAUGCUGGAGCUGGUGUCCCCAUCUGUGCUGGGGCUUCUGGAAGUUCUGCGGGUGCAGGGACAGUGAGAAGGGCUCUUCCGGUGUCUCCUCUAAACCCCCCCCCCCACCGCCCUAGGAAGGGAUGCUCUUAUCUAGCACUUUUUUUGCAGAUGAGGAAUAUGAGUAACGGGAGGUUUUUCUGCCACGCUUGCUCAGAUCGUGCAGUGGGGCUGCUGCGCUCUCAGAUCCCUCUCCCUCUCCCCGUUCAUGCUGCCUCGACAGAGAUGUGAAGACUCAAGUUCCAAGGGGUGAAGUGACUUGCUGAAUCUAGUGAGUGGAAGAAAUUGAGUUUGAACUUAGGUCAUAUCCAAAGCUGAAAUCCAUCUGAUUAUGCUACGGAAGGAAGGAAGGAAGGAAGCUGUUUCCAAAUGCCUUCUACCUGAGGAUUUCAAAGUAUUUUCCCAGAAUUCCACAGCAAUUUAUUGCAUAUCUAUUUAGUCUCCAGGCACGACAGAAUCCUGGGUUGAUAAAGUGAGGCCAAAGCUGUCUUUGGCCUCAGGGGCCUGGCAGCCAACUGGGGCAACAGCCUGUGGCAGUCAGCAGUGACUUUAAUAGCAGUCACUGGCAUUGUCCAGCUGGCUUUCACAAGGGCUAUUUUAUUUAAUCCAUUAAAAAAAAUAGCCUGUGAAAGAGGUGGUAAUUUCUAUUUUUGAAGUGAGGAUACUGAGGUGCAGAUGGGUUAAAGGUCUAACCUUUGGGGAUAUCUGACUGGUUGCUACUCCAAGGGCCGUCUCAGCACAGCCACCUGGCCGGGGUCAGCUGCAGUAUACACGCUCUGUAGCAAUCUCAUAGAACAGCUUCAUGUCGGUUGAGUAAAAUUCUUUUUUAAAAAGUGUCUUGUAUUUCAUAUGUUCAUUUCUUUUUAAAGUUUUCAUUUUUUUAAAUAAUCCACCUUGUUUUAUUUAACACAGGUAUUGAUCUGAGGUGGGUUGGGGGGAAAUGGCUUCUCAUUUGCCGCAGAGCGUUUGGGAAGUUACACAGACCUGGUAUUUGAUGGGGACAGUCCCACUGCAAGGCCUGUGUGUGUCCUUGGGACUGGUGAAGGGAAAGGCGCAUUCUCAUGGGGUCAUGCUGGCCUCCUUGCUGACUGUCACCCAGAGUUACUCCCAGCUCCCAGCCUUUGUUCCUGGUCGUCUCUCUCUGCAGACACCUGCACAGUCUGGUCCUUUACUCUGAACCUACACCUCCACACAGAUGCAGUCUCCAGCCACCCUACCUGCCAUGUGGCCACUGCCCUUUUACGUGCCAGCCCCGUGCCACCAACUGCUUGUACCUCUUGAGCACUGGCGGUGUGGUCACCCAGACCCGCAUGAGAUGGAAGUGCACGGUGCACAGAACUUCAGAGACUUCGUUCACAGACUGCACAACACCUCGUUGAUGAUUUUUAUACUUAUCACUUGUUGAAAUGGUAAUAUUUGAUAUACCAUAUUAGGCUAAAUAGAAUAUGUAUCAAUAAAACUAAUUUUGCAUGUUAUCUUUACUCUUUUAAAUGUGCCUACUAGGAAGUUGUAAAUCACCUAAGUAGCUUUCAUUAUACUGUGCCACGCGGAAUG